ensembl:snRNA U5 U5 spliceosomal RNA
AUACUCUGGUUUCUCUUCAGAUUGUGAAAUCUUUUGGCUUUUACUAAAGAUUUCCGAGGAGAUAAACAAUUCUGAGUCUUAACCCAUUUUUUUGAGGUCUUGUGUUUGCAGGGCU